rnacentral:misc_RNA from 2 species
AACGCACAUUGCGCCUUUUGGUAUUCCGAGAGGCAUGUCUGUUUGAGCGUCAUGAACACACCUCGGCCACCGGUUUUGCGACCGGAGGCCGGUCCUGAGCGCCUGGGUCACACCGGCGCUUUAAAGAAGAAGCUAGCGAGCCGUGUCUCAUCCCAAAGCGUAGUAAAGCUCUUGCCUCGCCUGGUUGAGAUGACCCGUUCCGCCUAGAAGACACAUGACACUUUUGACCUCAGGUCAGACAAGGAUACCCGCUGAACUUAA